AUGAGGAAGUUGUUGACGCAAGACUACGUGAGCGCACUUACAUACGAGCACUUACUUGCAGGGUCGGUGACCAUGUCCUUCACGCUGUCAAGCCUGGUGUACCUUGUGGCGAUGUACCCCGAGGUAGAGGAGAAGCUACUCAAGGAGAUUGACGCUUUUGGGCCCAAAGAUGUGGUACCCAAUGUUGAGGACAUCCAGACCAAAUUCCCUUAUAUGGAGCAGGUUUUGAAAGAGACGAUGAGAUUCUACACUGUGUCCCCGCUGAUUGCAAGGGAGGCAUCCGAGGAUGUCCAGAUUGGAGGCUAUGUCCGUCCUAAGGGUACUUGGGCGUGGCUAGCACCGGGCGUACUAGCAAAAGAACCAAAGCAGUUCCCAGACCCCGACGUGUUUCGGCCUGAGCGGUUUGACCCUGAGAGCGAGGAAUGCAAGCGAAGGCAUCCCUAUGCAUUCAUUCCCUUUGGUAUUGGACCCCGGGCAUGCAUUGGGCAGAAGUUCGCGUUCCAGCAGCUCAAGCUCGUCAUCCUCCACCUCUACCGCCACCACGUCUUCAGGCACUUGCCCAACAUGGAAUGCCCGCUGCAGUUCCAGUAUUCCAUCUUGGUCAACUUCAAGCAUGGUGUCAAGCUCCAGGUCAUCGAAAGGAAGACUUGA
rnacentral:rRNA from 1 species